rnacentral:rRNA from 1 species
AAAGAUUAACCCACGCAUGUUUUACCAUACGCCGAAUGAGAGUGAGCCCCGAAAUAACCCAUUCAAACGCCCAUUUUUUUUUGGUUUUUUUUUCUAACUGGGAAACGGCGGGAAUUUAAAGAUUAAAACCAGCCAACAACCCCCUCAACAUAACGACGGGUGCUUUUUUUAUAACAAGACCAUCCGGCGUCGUGCCAUUUUUUGGUGACUCUGAAUAACUGAGCCGAUCGCGUGGGCUCGUCCCGGCGACGUAUCUUUCAAGUGUCUGCCUUAUCAGGUUUCGUUGGCGGUUUAUGUGACCGCCACGCCUGUAACGGGUAACGGAGGAUCAGGGUCUGACUCCCGAGAGGGAGCGUGAGAAACGGAUACCACAUAUGAGGAAGGCAGCAGGCGCGCAAAUUACCCACUCUCCGCAAAAGGAGGUA